rnacentral:rRNA from 1 species
AGUGAACGCUGGCGGUAGGCCUAACACAUGCAAGUCGAACGGCAGCACAGUAAGAGCUUGCUCUUACGGGUGGCGAGUGGCGGACGGGUGAGGAAUACAUCGGAAUCUACUUUUUCGUGGGGGAUAACGUAGGGAAACUUACGCUAAUACCGCAUACGACCUACGGGUGAAAGCAGGGGAUCUUCGGACCUUGCGCGAUUGAAUGAGCCGAUGUCGGAUUAGCUAGUUGGCGGGGUAAAGGCCCACCAAGGCGACGAUCCGUAGCUGGUCUGAGAGGAUGAUCAGCGACACUGGAACUGGGACACGGUCCAGACUCCUACGGGAGGCAGCAGUGGGGAAUAUUGGACAAAGGGCGCAAGCCUGAUCCAGCCAUACCGCGUGGGUGAAGAAGGCCUUCGGGUUGUAAAGCCCUUUUGUUGGGAAAGAAAAGCAGCAGGUUAAUACCCCGCUGUUCCGACGGUACCCAAAGAAUAAGCACCGGCUAACUUCGUG